rnacentral:rRNA from 1 species
GGGGAGCGGCAGACAGGGUGAGUAACGCGUGGGAACGUACCUUUUGCUACGGAAUAACUCAGGGAAACUUGUGCUAAUACCGUAUGUGCCCUUCGGGGGAAAGAUUUAUCGGCAAAGGAUCGGCCCGCGUUGGAUUAGCUAGUUGGUGAGGUAAAGGCUCACCAAGGCGACGAUCCAUAGCUGGUCUGA